GCUGGAGCACAGUGGCACGAUCUUGGAUCACUGCAAGCUCCACCUCCCGGGCCUCAGUCUGCAGAGACACAGAAGCAAAUGAUUGUAUGAAGCUCCUGACUGUAUGAAGUUCUCAGUCAAACAAAAUAGUACCUCUUCUGCCCAUCUCAGAGGUGGAUAAGGAUAAAGUGAAAUAAUGGAAAGCACAAGGAACAGUAAAAGGCAAAUGUCAAGAAGCUGUUUGCAAAGUUACCAAGAUGUAAAAUUAGAUUUUACUUAUUAAUAAUCAUGUCACUUGUCAUUCUGUUUAUAAUGGUCAAUUCACUGCUGAUAUUCAAGUGGACCGUUUAAACUGUAUUUUUGCUCAGCUAUCCCUCCAAAUAAAUAUCUCAAAAUCUUGACUGUU